GGGGACCACCACCCUCGGCGGGAGGACCGCACCGGGAGGAGACGUCCCAAGCGCCAGCCCUCCUGGCUCCCAGCCUGGAGGGAAACACAAGAAAACACGAGAAAACACUCGUCAGUGACGGAGAUGAAUGCUGUUCAGCUCCGUGGAUCCGUGUCCUUUUAUGCUAGCUAAGGAUCUGAUCCUGCAGUCUGAAAAUCCUGAAACAGCGUUUAGAAAACAUUUCAGAAAAUUGGUUUAGAAACCUUCUUUCUUCUGCUCACACAUUCAGCUGCGGUCUGCUGCAGAAAGCUCUGGAAACAAAUUGUCUCAAACAUCUGGCUUAAAAAAAAUUAAAAGCAAGCGCAGGAUUUUUCUCAGCUGUGAACCACCAUCUCCGUGGUGGUGGCUUGCAGAUGCAAGCUCUCAGUCACCCGGGGUCGGAAAGCAAGACUAGGCAGUCCCGCACAUUUGCGGCAGUACCCGUUCUCAGGGCAAUCCCACAUCUUGCGUGGGGCCACGGUGGCCACAAUUUUGAACUUUGCAAGGUCAAUUUGGGCUCCAGGAAGACAAACACGGGAGAUGUGCAUGUGCACAAGCUGAAGUCCCAUGCUUCUACCUAGAGCAAGAGGAUCCCUUUAACUUCAAGGGGAGAAUUAACUGCGAGGACCAGCUUGUAACAAAAGCUAAAGUGGACAAGCUGGGCAAAAAGCAGCAGAGAGUCAAGCAAAGGACCUCUGACAGUUGUAUCACUACAUUGUCCCACGGCACAAAGAUUCUCCUGUUCCUCCUGUAGGACGGAAUGUGCCAUCAGAGGUGGGGAUGACCACCCACCCCAUCCUAUUUAUGGACUCCUUGCAAGGUAUGUAAUGGGAUCCUCGAAACAGCGUCUCUGAGCUCCACGCUGAGGAGGACGCUGGGACACAAGUGAGAAGUACGAAGAAGACUCUGCUGGCCCUACACCUGCCUUGGGAAACCAGGGAGCUCAAAAAAGCUGCCUUUGCAACCUGGGAAACCAAAGCUGAGGCUGGUUCUAGUGAACCGCGGGCAGCAAGGAAAGGCAAAGCAGCUCUGCUGAGCGCUGCGUGCUUCGCCUCCUGCUCCUCCACCACGUGUUUUUCUUUUCUUGGCGUACUCCCCCACCUUUCUAAGGAGGGUAGUUUAAAAUGGGUGUCAUUAUCCAUGCAUAGAGGGGGGAAAAAAGCAAGCAAGGUUUCCUUUGCUGGUUUAAUAAGCUGGCAGCUUUCAAGAAACUCACAGUCAAGGUUAAGAAAUCUGAGCCCCUCCAUGUUGCCUCCCCCUCUCACGGCCAGCAGCAGCACGUUGUGCUCCCCUCCAACCCACCCUCCGCCUCGGAAACUGGCUUGUGGGCCCGUGAACAUGGUCUAGCCAUGAAUACUGACAGCCCAGUUGCUUCACCCAGAGGUAAAUGGUAGAAGGAAAGAUAUCCCGGGGCGGGAGGCAAUCACUGCAGGGACUUCUGCUUGUCAUCAGCCAACCUAGACCAUGCCU